rnacentral:rRNA from 1 species
CGGUUGAUCCUGCCUGAACUGAUGUGCUUAUCUCAAAGAUUAAGCCAUGCAUGUCUAAGUAUAAACGAUUUAAUCGUGAAACCGCGAAUGGCUCAUUAUAACAGCUAUAAUUUACUUGAUCUUGACACAAUCCUACUUGGAUAACUGUGGUAAUUCUAGAGCUAAUACAUGCAUUAAAGCUCUGACCUCACGGGAAGAGUGCAUUUAUUAGAACAAAACCAAGCGGCUUCGGCUGUUUCUGGUUGACUCAUAGUAACUGAGCUGAUCGCAUGGUCUUGCACCGGCGACGUGUCUUUCAAGUAUCUGCCGUAUCAACUUUCGAUGGUAGUGUAUCUGACUACCAUGGUGAUCACGCGUAACGGAGAAUAAGGGUUCGGCUCCGGAGAGUUCGCCUGAGAAAUCGCGAACACAUCUAAGGAAGGCAGCAGGCGCGAAAAUUACCCACUCUCAGCACGAGGAGGUAGUGACGAAAAAUAACGAGACCGUUCUCUUAUGAGGCCGGUCAUCGGAAUGGGUACAAUUUAAACCCUUUAACGAGUAUCUAUGAGAGGGCAAGUCUGGU